ACAAUCACAACAUCUCACAACCAUAUUCUCAUACAACACCAUGAAAAGUAGGGUUAGAGCAACAUAGUUCGGCCGAAGCCUAUACCUUUGAAGCUAUCUCAAUCCAAACUCAAUGAAACCCAAGGUGAAUACGAUUCCGGAACUUCACUCAACGGAAUCGCGGAGUAGAAGAGAUUCCGGACCAUCUCUCACGAAAUCCAAGUGGAUACGAUUCCGAAACAUCACUCAACGGAAUCACGGAAGGCCAACAACCAUAAUGUACAACGGCUCAAAGAAAUGAGACAAGCACAAGCUACUAAAUUUACGAAAGCUUAACCAAGGGAAAUAAGGCACAAAUGCUAAAUUUAAAACGAAUCAAUGAAAAGGGAAAAGAAACAAUAUCGAAGCAACAAAUCCCCAAUCACAAUGGGUUCACAGUCCACCACUAGUCCUCACAUUUCAUCACAUCAAGCCAACCAUACAAAGCAAACCAUGUGUCUAAUAUGCACGUCAAAUCCCACGUUAUAAACUAUAACGAUGGCACUUUAUAGGAAACAUAAUCAUAUAACCGUCUCAUACCCUCAGGAUAAUAAUUAUGAAAAUAGAGUAAUCACCUAUAACACAUAUUAAAGUCACUCACCCUUUUUAUACUAGUAACCAUACAUAUUAUUUCUCAUCCAUGAAAUCAACAUUUUA
rnacentral:lncRNA from 1 species